UACGUAGGGUGCGAGCGUUGUCCGGAUUUAUUGGGCGUAAAGAGCGUGUAGGCGCCAGGUAGGUCUGCUGUGAAAACUCGAGGCUUAACCUCGAGAUGUCGGCGGAAACCAUCUGGCUAGAGUCCGGAAGAGGAGAAUGGAAUUCCCGGUGUAGCGGUGAAAUGCGCAGAUAUCGGGGAAGAACACCUAUGGCGAAGGCAGCUCUCUGGGACGGUACUGACGCUGAGACGCGAAAGCGUGGGGAGCGAACAGG
rnacentral:rRNA from 1 species